GAUGAACGCUGGCGGCGUGCCUAAUACAUGCAAGUCGAACGAGGUGCUUUUUGUAGCAAUACGAGGAGUAUCCUAGUGGCGAACGGGUGAGUAACGCGUGGGUGACCUACCCCAAAGUGUGGAAUAACAGUCCGAAAGGAUUGCUAAUGCCGCAUGUGGUCUGCGAGUUUAGAAAUCGUUGACUAAAGGAGCAAUUCGCUUUGGGAGGGACCUGCGUCCCAUCAGCUAGUUGGUGAGGUAACGGCUCACCAAGGCUACGACGGGUAGGGGACCUGAGAGGGUGGCCCCCCACAAUGGAACUGAAACACGGUCCAUACACCUACGGGUGGCAGCAGUAGGGAAUAUUGCACAAUGGGCGAAAGCCUGAUGCAGCAACGCCGCGUGCGCGAUGAAGGUCUUCGGAUCGUAAAGCGCUUUUCUGAGAGAUGAGAAAGGACAGUAUCUCAGGAAUAAGUCUCGGCUAACUACGUGCCAGCAGCCGCGGUAAUGCACG
rnacentral:rRNA from 1 species